rnacentral:rRNA from 1 species
UAAGCGACUAAGCGUACACGGUGGAUGCCCUGGCAGUCAGAGGCGAUGAAGGACGUGCUAAUCUGCGAUAAGCGUCGGUAAGGUGAUAUGAACCGUUAUAACCGGCGAUUUCCGAAUGGGGAAACCCAGUGUGUUUCGACACACUAUCAUUAACUGAAUCCAUAGGUUAAUGAGGCGAACCGGGGGAACUGAAACAUCUAAGUACCCCGAGGAAAAGAAAUCAACCGAGAUUCCCCCAGUAGCGGCGAGCGAACGGGGAGCAGCCCAGAGCCUGAAUCAGUGUGUGUGUUAGUGGAAGCGUCUGGAAAGGCGCGCGAUACAGGGUGACAGCCCCGUACACAAAAAUGCACAUGCUGUGAGCUCGAUGAGUAGGGCGGGACACGUGGUAUCCUGUCUGAAUAUGGGGGGACCAUCCUCCAAGGCUAAAUACUCCUGACUGACCGAUAGUGAACCAGUACCGUGAGGGAAAGGCGAAAAGAACCCCGGCGAGGGGAGUGAAAAAGAACCUGAAACCGUGUACGUACAAGCAGUGGGAGCACGCUUAGGCGUGUGACUGCGUACCUUUUGUAUAAUGGGUCAGCGACUUAUAUUCUGUAGCAAGGUUAACCGAAUAGGGGAGCCGAAGGGAAACCGAGUCUUAACUGGGCGUUAAGUUGCAGGGUAUAGACCCGAAACCCGGUGAUCUAGCCAUGGGCAGGUUGAAGGUUGGGUAACACUAACUGGAGGACCGAACCGACUAAUGUUGAAAAAUUAGCGGAUGACUUGUGGCUGGGGGUGAAAGGCCAAUCAAACCGGGAGAUAGCUGGUUCUCCCCGAAAGCUAUUUAGGUAGCGCCUCGUGAAUUCAUCUCCGGGGGUAGAGCACUGUUUCGGCAAGGGGGUCAUCCCGACUUACCAACCCGAUGCAAACUGCGAAUACCGGAGAAUGUUAUCACGGGAGACACACGGCGGGUGCUAACGUCCGUCGUGAAGAGGGAAACAACCCAGACCGCCAGCUAAGGUCCCAAAGUCAUGGUUAAGUGGGAAACGAUGUGGGAAGGCCCAGACAGCCAGGAUGUUGGCUUAGAAGCAGCCAUCAUUUAAAGAAAGCGUAAUAGCUCACUGGUCGAGUCGGCCUGCGCGGAAGAUGUAACGGGGCUAAACCAUGCACCGAAGCUGCGGCAGCGACGCUGAUGCGUUGUUGGGUAGGGGAGCGUUCUGUAAGCCUGCGAAGGUGUGCUGUGAGGCAUGCUGGAGGUAUCAGAAGUGCGAAUGCUGACAUAAGUAACGAUAAAGCGGGUGAAAAGCCCGCUCGCCGGAAGACCAAGGGGUUCCUGUACCAACGUUAAUCGGGGGCAGGGUGAGUCGACCCCUAAGGCGAGGCCGAAAGGCGUAGUCGAUGGGAAACAGGUUAAUAUUCCUGUACUUGGUGUUAACUGCAAGGGGGGACGGAGAAGGCUAUGUUGGCCGGGCGACGGUUGUCCCGGUUUAAGCGUGUAGGCUGGUUUUUCCAGGCAAAUCCGGAAAAUCAAGGCUGAGGCGUGAUGACGAGGCACUACGGUGCUGAAGCAACAAAUGCCCUGCUUCCAGGAAAAGCCUCUAAGCAUCAGGUAACAUCAAAUCGUACCCCAAACCGACACAGGUGGUCAGGUAGAGAAUACCAAGGCGCUUGAGAGAACUCGGGUGAAGGAACUAGGCAAAAUGGUGCCGUAACUUCGGGAGAAGGCACGCUGAUAUGUAGGUGAAGUCCCUCGCGGAUGGAGCUGAAAUCAGUCGAAGAUACCAGCUGGCUGCAACUGUUUAUUAAAAACACAGCACUGUGCAAACACGAAAGUGGACGUAUACGGUGUGACGCCUGCCCGGUGCCGGAAGGUUAAUUGAUGGGGUCAGCGCAAGCGAAGCUCUUGAUCGAAGCCCCGGUAAACGGCGGCCGUAACUAUAACGGUCCUAAGGUAGCGAAAUUCCUUGUCGGGUAAGUUCCGACCUGCACGAAUGGCGUAAUGAUGGCCAGGCUGUCUCCACCCGAGACUCAGUGAAAUUGAACUCGCUGUGAAGAUGCAGUGUACCCGCGGCAAGACGGAAAGACCCCGUGAACCUUUACUAUAGCUUGACACUGAACAUUGAGCCUUGAUGUGUAGGAUAGGUGGGAGGCCUUGAAGUGUGGACGCCAGUCUGCAUGGAGCCGACCUUGAAAUACCACCCUUUAAUGUUUGAUGUUCUAACGUGGACCCGUAAUCCGGGUUGCGGACAGUGUCUGGUGGGUAGUUUGACUGGGGCGGUCUCCUCCUAAAGAGUAACGGAGGAGCACGAAGGUUGGCUAAUCCUGGUCGGACAUCAGGAGGUUAGUGCAAUGGCAUAAGCCAGCUUGACUGCGAGCGUGACGGCGCGAGCAGGUGCGAAAGCAGGUCAUAGUGAUCCGGUGGUUCUGAAUGGAAGGGCCAUCGCUCAACGGAUAAAAGGUACUCCGGGGAUAACAGGCUGAUACCGCCCAAGAGUUCAUAUCGACGGCGGUGUUUGGCACCUCGAUGUCGGCUCAUCACAUCCUGGGGCUGAAGUAGGUCCCAAGGGUAUGGCUGUUCGCCAUUUAAAGUGGUACGCGAGCUGGGUUUAGAACGUCGUGAGACAGUUCGGUCCCUAUCUGCCGUGGGCGCUGGAGAAUUGAGGGGGGCUGCUCCUAGUACGAGAGGACCGGAGUGGACGCAUCACUGGUGUUCGGGUUGUCAUGCCAAUGGCACUGCCCGGUAGCUAAAUGCGGAAGAGAUAAGUGCUGAAAGCAUCUAAGCACGAAACUUGCCCCGAGAUGAGUUCUCCCUGACUCCUUGAGAGUCCUGAAGGAACGUUGAAGACGACGACGUUGAUAGGCCGGGUGUGUAAGCGCAGCGAUGCGUUGAGCUAACCGGUACUAAUGAACCGUGAGGCUUAACCU